UACGGAGGAUCCAAGCGUUAUCCGGAUUUAUUGGGUUUAAAGGGUGCGUAGGCGGCCUAUUAAGUCAGGGGUGAAAGACGGUAGCUUAACUAUCGCAGUGCCUUUGAUACUGAUGGGCUUGAAUGUACUUGAGGUAGGCGGAAUGUGACAAGUAGCGGUGAAAUGCAUAGAUAUGUCACAGAACACCAAUUGCGAAGGCAGCUUACUAAAGUAUGAUUGACGCUGGGGCACGAAAGCGUGGGGAUCAAACAGG
rnacentral:rRNA from 1 species